GAAACACACUGUUGAAUGCCAAAGUCGUGCUUCUCCUCUGUGGUUGUUAAAUAUGCUCACUAAUGUUUCUGUGAAGCUAAAGGAUACACUUUAUAGUCAGGCCAUAUGCUGUGGCCUUCAUGUGUACACACACACACACACACACACACACACACACACACACACACACCAAUGCACACAAACAUGCCCACACAUAUCUUGUAUGCAUUCUGUAAUUUCUUCCAGGUUGCUGCUAGAAAAUGCUUCAUUUCAAACAGAUGGAAGCUUCAGUGGUUUGCUUUGCAUGAAAAGAAGGGGAUAUUUCUUCUCACUUAGGUUUUGUGAAUGACUGCUUCAGGUCAUGGGUGCUGUCUUCGUGGGGGCGUUGACAGACAAGACCAGCUCUGCCAGGAACUGUCUUUCAGCACUUAAAAACCACAGGGAGGAGAUGCAGAAAAUGCGAGCACCCUUCUGGUGGAUGAAGUUUUGGUAAGCCCGCGGGCCAUUUUCUUCUGGUGCACUUCUCCGGGAGGAGAAAUUUGAAACAGAGGCCGAGUGUUGUCCAAAAAAUAUAAAAAGGAAAAACUAAUUAGCUAGCCCCAAACACUUCUGUAGUUAGUAUUCUACAAGUGUUCUUGGCUUAUGCUGCAAGGAAAUCAGUAUGUAAGAUUAAAACUUAAGCUAGGCAGUUGCAAUAGCGUGGCCUACAGGAUGGAAGACCACAUUCAUGUGUAACUUUGUUCUCUUUCUUUUAGGGGAUAAUUUACUAGCAAAGUAUUUUAAAGAUAAACAUUUGGAGGGUAGGUUUGAAGCCUGACUUGAGGUGUCCUUUUUUAAACAGCAGUGCAUUGCCAGUGAAGCAGAUAACAAACAUCAAUGCACUCUUAGAUUCUGAAGAUCACUACAAUUCCCUUGUGUGACCUGACCCCAUUUAUUUGUCAAUUAAUUUACAUAUUCACUGAGCAGGUUGUAAAGCAAAACUGGCUUUACUAGGUAAGGUUCUGGAAACCCCAUUUAAGAAUUGUAAAGCCCUUCUUAUCUCUCUACAAUAUAUAAUAUUCCACAGUUUCAGUGCCUUUUGAAAAAUAAUAAAGUCAUAAAAUGUGAUAUUAAAGUCUUUCCUUCUCCACUUUAAAUUAUUGUAACUCCUUUCACAUUUCUCAACAAAUUGGGGAACACUUUAACUCUUAUAUCUAACCUCAUACAACCAAAUCACUAUUGAUUAUACUUUUGCAAACAUCGGCACUGACAUGUUAUCAUUUGAUUAAAAACUAUUUAACAAUUGCAAUUGCAUACUGUGCUAUGCUCAACAACAACUGUGUGCAAUUACACAGCACUAAAAAAAAAUACAUAUGAAUAACUUUUGAGCUGAAUGUGAAUACAGACAUGGAAAUGUCCCUUAAAACAAAAAGCAAAGUAGAAUAUAUUUCAAUGAAUAUAAUAUUGUCUCUGGUAUGUAUCUACCUGCACAUAUAUUAGAUAAACUUUGAAGACAUAUGCAUUUGUUUUAGGACACCUAUAUUUUUAAUAAAUAAAAUACAUGCAUUUAAAAUAUUGAUAACUUGUAAAACAGUAAUCAGCAUUCUAAGUUAUGAAUGUGUUUAUAGUUUCCCAUCUGAGGUAUUAAUAUAUUCCCAUAUUUCCAGAUAAUAAAAC
rnacentral:lncRNA from 1 species